GACGAACGCUGGCGGCGUGGAUUAGGCAUGCAAGUCGAACGGUAUCAUCCUUUCGGGGGUGAGAGAGUGGCGAACUGGUGAGUAACACGUAGGUUAUCUACCCUCAAGACGGGGACAACCCAGGGAAACUUGGGCUAAUACCGGAUGUGAGCAACUUUUAGUUGUUUGAAAGGUGGCGUAAGCUGUCGCUUGGGGAUGAGCCUGCGUCCUAUUAGUUAGUUGGUGAGGUAACGGCUCACCUAGGCAAUGAUAGGUAGGCGGCCUUAACGGGUGGUCGCCCACACUGGGGUUGAGAUACGGCCCAGACUCCUACGGGAGGCAGCAGUCGAGAAUAGUCUACAAUGGUCGGAAGACUGAUAGUGCGACGCCGCGUGAACGAUGAAUCCCUUCGGGGUGUAAAGUUCUUUUAUAUGUGAGCAGUGCUUCUUAUAUUAACAGUAUGGGGAGAGAGAUAUUAGCAUAUGAAUAAGCAACGGCUAACUCCGUGCCAGCAGCCGACGGU
rnacentral:rRNA from 1 species